AUGGACCCCGAAAUCUUGCUCCGUUUUUUGCGUUCAUUUUUAAUUAUCAACGAGCUAAAAAAGCUGUGUCGCGGUCAUCAUCGCCAGCAUGUUUUGUACUCCAGGCUCAUCAGAGAAAAUCAUAUCCAGACAAGGCCGUUGUACUGCAGGAUUAACCAAAGUGUACCAGUCCUGGACCGUUUUUUUAGCCAGGAGGAUCCAAGGCCUGAUUUUCGGCUAAGCAGGGAGUCUCUGGCAGUGUUGUUAAAUCUCCUGAACCAGGAUCGGCGGCAUGGAUGGGGUGACACAAUUGAGAUCCUGGUGUUUCUUUUCUGGUUGGCAAGUGGCACAUCCUACAGGGUGGUCUCAAUAGUGUUUGGGAUGCCUCGUUCUACUGUCCACUAUAUCGUCCACCGAGUCACGAAAGAGUUGUUGGCCAUUCGCUACCAGGUCAUCCACCUCCCAACAACCCCAGAGGACCUGGAGGUAGUGUCCCGUGGGUUUGCAGGGCUGGUACGCCACAGAGCCUUUAUGAAAGCGGUGCAAUCGACGGCUGCCACAUACGCAUCAAGUGUCCAAGUGGCCCUGAUGGUCAGUGCUAUAGGAACAGAAAACUGUUUCCAUCAAUCAUCUUGCAGGCGGUUUGUGACCAUCGGGGCCGCUUCAUCGACACAUACGUGGGCUGGCCUGGGUCGGUGCAUGAUUCCAGGGUGCUCCGCCACAGCCCACUGUACAGUCAGUCAGUCUACCCUCCUCCAGGGCAUUUCAUCCUUGCAGAUGGAGGGUACCCAUGCCUCCAGCGUCCACUCCCCCUCAUCACACCCUACAAGAGGCCAGUCCAAGGUGUGGGAGCCCAGCGCUUUAACAGCCAUCAUUCCAGGGCACGCUCCAUAAUAGAGCGUGCUUUUGGGAUGAUGAAGAGCAGGUUCAGGGCCAUCUUCCUGCAAGCGCUGGAGGUGCACCACACCUUUGUACCUCAUGUAAGUGACCACCCAUUGUCAAAAUAAUUGUGUGUGUGUACAUAUAUAUAUAUAUUGAAUCCAAGAUGGCGCCGCGGAUGGCAGCCUCGGUACUGCGCUCUCUCGCACUUUUCUUGUUUCUGUUUAUUUUCUGCACUUUCGGUCACUCAGACCACAUCACUUUCUCCAGAGAUGAACUGCUAAACAUCAGGCAGUCGUCUCACUACAGUUCUUAUCCAUUUUUCACAAACCCGGAAAGUGUUUUGGAGAUUUUAGUUGGAGGCGCAGCAGCUCUCUGUGGCUCCUGGAGGAGACGUAGACGGGGGACCCGCGCUGGUGAAACUACGUUGGCGAGGAUUCCGCAUGGUACCCCCCUCCAUUCACCUCGCGAAUCUCCGCUCUCUUCCAAACAAAGUCGACGA
rnacentral:lncRNA from 1 species